rnacentral:rRNA from 1 species
CCUACGGGUGGCAGCAGUGGGGAAUCUUGGACAAUGGGGGCAACCCUGAUCCAGCGAUGCCGCGUGAGUGAAGAAGGCCUUCGGGUCGUAAAGCUCUUUAGGUUGGGAAGCGGUACCGACAGAAUAAGCACCGGCAAACUCUGUGCCAGCAGCCGCGGUAAUACAGAGGGUGCGAGCGUUAAUCGGAAUUACUGGGCGUAAAGGGUGCGUAGGUUGUUGUAUGUGAGUUAUGUGAAAGCCCCGGGCUUAACCUGGGAAGUGCAUAGCAGACUAUAUGACUAGAGUACAAGAGAGGGUAGUGGAAUUUCCGGUGUAGCGGUGAAAUGCGUAGAUAUCGGAAGGAACGUCAAUGGCGAAGGCAGCUACCUGGCUGAACUGACACUGAGGCACGAAAGCGUGGGGAGCGAACAGGAUUAGAUACCCUGGUAGUC